GAUGAACGCUGGCGGCGUGCUUAAGACAUGCAAAGUCGAACGGAGUGUGUAGCAAUACUCACUAAGUGGCGAAUGGGUGAGUAACACGUAGGUGACCUGCCCUGAAGUGCGGAAUAACAGUCCGAAAGGAUUGCUAAUACCGCAUGUGGUCCCGGGCGUUAGAGAACCGGGUCUAAAGCAGUAAUGCGCUUCAGGAGGGGCCUGCGGUCCAUCAGCUAGUUGGUAGGGAAUGGCCUACCAAGGCAACGACGGAUAGGGGACCUGAGAGGGUGGCCCCCCACAUUGGCACUGACACACGGG
rnacentral:rRNA from 1 species